rnacentral:rRNA from 1 species
GACGAAGGGGGCUAGCGUUGUUCGGAAUUACUGGGCGUAAAGCGAGUGUAGGUGGUUGUCCAAGUUGGAUGUGAAAGCCUUGAGCUCAACUCAAGAAAUGCAUUCAGGACUGGGCGGCUAGAGGACCGGAGAGGAUAGUGGAAUUCCCAGUGUAGUGGUGAAAUACGUAGAGAUUGGGAAGAACACCAGUGGCGAGGGCGGCUAUCUGGACGGUUUCUGACACUAAGACUCGAAAGCGUGGGGAGCAAACAGG